rnacentral:rRNA from 1 species
CUACGGAGGGUGCAAGCGUUGUUCGGAAUCACUGGGCGUAAAGGGCGCGCAGGCGGUUUGGUAAGUCAGAUGUGAAAGCCCACGGCUCAACCGUGGAAGUGCAUUUGAAACUGCCAGACUUGAGUACCAGAGGGGAAAGUGGAAUUCCCGGUGUAGAGGUGAAAUUCGUAGAUAUCGGGAGGAAUACCGGUGGCGAAGGCGACUUUCUGGCUGGAUACUGACGCUGAGGCGCGAAAGCGUGGGGAGCAAACAGGAUUAGAAACCCUAGUAGUCC